ensembl:lncRNA
GGGAAUAAGAAAACAAAUAAUAUAAUUUUAGACGGUCAUAAAUGCUAUGGAGAAAGUCAAGCCAGGUACGUGGAGAACAUGCGAUGGGAGGAGCCGUGUGAGAGAGGUGGUGGGGAGGGCCUCUGAGGAGGCCGAGCAGAGCGGGAUGUGAGGGCGCUAGUGCAUGUGGGGUUCUGCAAGUGUUCGUUGUUUAAUGACUGUUGGAAGCUUUCGUGCCAUGUGGUGGUGAGCCCUCUAGGACGGCUGUGUCUAUAUCAUGGGCUCUGCUUGUGGCAUGCUAACUGGACCCCCCACUCCUUUUUCCUUCUCCUUGGUAAUAGAAACACGGAUAUACGUGGUCCACAUGUGACGCUCAUGUAGAAGGAGGCCGACUGUGGCACAGCGGAUAGAGCCAGACAAGCCUGGAUCGGCUCCUGCCACUAACCAGCCUGAAGACCUGGGGCAAUCCAUUUAACCUCUCUGAUGCUCAUUUCUCAUCCGUAAAAUGAGGAGAAGAAUACCUCCACAGGCGAACUUCAUUGGCGGUCUCUUCUCAGUUCCUGCUCUUGGCUCUGACUUGCCAUAUCUCGGCAGAAAGCUCAAGCAUGCUUCGGGGUUCAGAGACUGUGUACACUGAGAAUUUGACAUUGAAAUUCAGUAAAAGAUUUGGAGAACUCCAGAAAUGCAGCAUCUCAACUUGACAAAAAUGUGUUUGGUUUCUGUGGUUAAGUGAAAUUACAGCAACCAACAUUUAUUGAAAGCUGACUAUAUGCCAAGUAUUGUUCACAUGCGUUUAUCCAUUUAGCCCUCUCAAGCCCCCAAGUUGUCAUCAUUCUCUUGUCACCAUCUGACGUGGCCAGGCAGCAAGGGAAAGAUUGCGACAGUGCCCGGUGGCCAGAGCCUGCAGGUGAAUGAGUCCUUCCGUGGACGGUUCCUGCCACUUGGAAAGAAUUUGUGAGCUGCCCCAGCUCUAAUUUGUUUACUGCUACUUCAUGGUACAGACUCUACAAUGCACAACUAUUUUCACAUGAUCUUAUAGAAGGAAUUUCCUACUUCAGGAAGUUUGAGAAACGGCUUCUUACAAACAUCAUGUACCGUUGACAAAAAUGCCUGCUCUCCAAACCUGCGGCCGCGCAGCUCUGCCCCCCUGCAGUCAGAUCACGCUGGGCCUGGGGCCUACGGACCCUUGAAGAACACUGGCUGUCUGAGGCAAGAGUCAGGAUUAUUCCACCAGGAACAGGUAGACGCUCUGCUCAGCCACUUGUGUGUAAACUCCGUGCGGCCAGGCUCAGUGUCUGUCCUGGUCACUGCUGCACCCACAAGGCCUUGGCCGUGUGGUUUUGGACGAGCGAGGGGGUGACUGACAGUUCAGUCUAAACAAAACCCCUGAGGCUAGAAGAGAACCGCCACCUGGGUUCUCCCUGCCUGCUCCCCGCUCCCAGACACCUCCCAUUACACUUUUCCUCUCUCCUCUCUGUUUUCUGCCCAUCCCUGACUUUCUUCACUUCCAUCCUCACCUUCUUCUGCUUUGUCUGCAUUUUUUUUGCUUCCACCAGCCUGACGAUGACGCCGCUUUUGACCACGCCUUCUUUGUAUCUUUCAUCUCUUUCCCACAGCUCUUCUCUGUUGCACUGCGGCUGGGUUUUCCAGAUGUGUGUGGCUGCAUUUCAAGUGUCUGACUGUGUUCUCUCUCCCAGGGACAUGGGAGCACGUGGUUGCAGAGCGCUGACCUCCAUUCCCACCUUCUCUCUUCUCUUUCCUCGCUGCUGCUGAUCGAGGGCCGGUAACAAUAGUCUGGUCCCUCCCCGUCAUGAGUGUCCCACUCGGCUUCGUGCCUCUCCCCCCGCCUGCCUUUGUGUCUCUGUGUCCAGAACAGCCUUCUCUGUUCUAAAAUUUCCAGAGUUGUCCUCCUGCUGAGAGCAUUCCUCACAUAUCCCAGGUGGGCACUCAGGAUUCUUUCCAACGAGAACACAAAGGAACAAAGGAAAGCCGGGUGGACAGGAGUGCCAGCCCUGGGGGCUCAGGCCGGCGUGCCCAGAGGGAGCUCGGAGAUGAUACAAACCAUGCUCAUUCAUCAAAGCAGCUUUCUUCAGACUUUUAAGAUUGUGUACCCCCUCAGUAAAGAAUUGUGAGCACUCACCACUUCAAUAUAUGAAUAGUAAUUUAUUAAUUAUAUAUAUGACUCUACUAAUAUAUAGACUCAU